UAAAGGCGAUACUCAAAGCGCCGGCUUCGAGCCCGCCCAUCGGGCUCCGCAAACGCAGCCGGGUCCCGCGUUGUGACAGCUCUCCGAAGAGAGCCGACGGCAAGAAGGCGAAAUCCCAACACCGACGCUCCUCCCGCGGCACAAACCCCAGCUCCGGCCCCAGCACCGGGCAGGGAGACGAGGACGGAACGGGUCGGGACGAGACGGGUGGUACUUACUGCGAUCCGGGCCGGCCCCGCCGCCGGGUCCCGUCGCCGCCAGCAGCUCCAGGUCUCAAGCCCUAGCUGUCCAGACAAAAUGGCAUAGAAAUGGCCUGGCCUUCCUUUUCAGCCACGAGGAGGACAUUUUGGAGUGACCUUAGACACGAACGUCACCAAGUGCCUCAAGGAACACGUCCUUGCUACCCAUCCUGCCAUGGAAAUGGGCCUCAGUUGCUUUCUGCGCCUCAGAACUCUCUCUCAAUAUUCACAGCACAUUUGCACUUCCAGAAAAAAAAAAAAAAAAAAAAAAAACCUAGUUCAAGGUGAGAUCUUUCAAAAAGACUUUUCAGGAUUUAUCAGAAUGAGAGAUGCAUCUAAGUCUGUAAUCAUUUUGGACAUCCGCCUCUUCAAAUCUGACUAUAAUUUUGCCUGACCCUCCUUUCCAUUCUUAAAAACACCAGGACUUGCUUUAUAGUUAAAGCGAUCGUGCUCCUCACCCUCCUGUUGCAAGAAGCUCCAAAGAUGUGGCACGCUCAUUUUAUUACAGACACCACGGAGCGUAAAGCCAAACAGCUUCCCCUGGGACGAUGCUGAGCAGACCUCUCCCCACCCAAACUAGCACUGAAAGGAAAAAGCGUUUUACUGAGCAGUCUGGGAGUGACUCACUGCUGAGAUAAACGUUUACAGUGAAAGACAGUCAGUUUGAUCCCUGAAUCAACACAGGAGAAUUCAGCAUAUCCUGUAUGUGCUUCACCAGGGUAAAUCCAGAGCUUUUUAUUCAAGUUGAACCCAUUUCAGCAAUUAAACCCUUCCUGACCGAGCAGUUAAGAUUUCUGUGCUUUGACAUUGAAACGCUAGCAUGUAGAAAGCCUCUGUGGGCUUUCUGAAUUAAAGCAGGUAAUCCCUAUUUACACAUUUGUAAUUUGUCCACGAUCCAACAGCAUCGUAAUUGGUAAAACAUGCAAUUUAGUCAGUGUAAGUGAAUGCUCAGCCCUAUUGAGGGCCUUGUUUGUGAAGCUGCACUUUGAGCUCACUUGAAGCACAGCCACGCUGCCUCAUGCUCAAAGACAUCCUUUCUGCAAAUAGUUAAUUUGGUACUACAUGGGCCGGAUCAGAAGUCCGUCCCCACUACUCUCACAUACUAAGUCGUGCCAGAAGCAUUUUCCCCCAGAAGGUUAAAUUCCUCCAUGUUUCAAAGAAAACCCUAAAGAUGUGAUGCGACCUAAGAAUUGAAACUAUUUUUGUUCCUUACACUGUAAAUCCUAUGAAUGCAGUCAUCAGAAGGAAUUGCUGCACUUUCAGCUCUCGUCCCUUCUACAAAGCAUCUGAGUGCGUUUUAGUACACAUGCUAACAAUGUACUUCUCCAGGUAGACUUGCAAGUUUAAGAACUGCCCUUUAAGGAGGCAAAGCAUUUCUUACAACUUAGGCAUACGACAGCAAAAUGAUGCGAAAAAUAGUAAAAGAAAAAUCUUAAAAUGUCCCUUCUAUGCAAAUGAGCUGUUACGCUGCUUUGAAUGAGGACAAAAGUGAUAUCUUUACUAGGAUUUUGACUAAGCAGGCAUGAAUACGUUCCAGUGUAACAGAACUAGAUGUAUUUGUGAGCUGUAAUUAAAAGUCUGAACAACAUGGUUUUCCACGAACUGAUCUAACGAAAUGCACAAGAUGUUGCUCCCAACUAGUCUCAAAAACAAGUGUCUCAUUAUUUACCAAGAAUUACUUCCUGGCCUAUGUACAGAGGCAUUACAAUUCCAGAUUAAGUGCCCAGAGAGUCCAUCCAUACUGGCAAAAUGUGUGUUUCUGAACACACAAUUAUGCAAGCAAUUUAAGUGUAGCUAUUGCAUAUGAGCAUAUAUUCCUGUUAUUUAGGUCCAUUCCAAAAGCAUCAAUUAUACCACAACUUGAGUGUAAUUAAAAAAACAUGAGUAAAAAAGCCAACCCACAUAACCUCUUUUAGAAACCUUGCUGUGUAGGGUGAGCUGACACAGUAUACAUGCCUAUAAUAAAAGGAAAAAGUGCUGAAAAACUCCUACCAGUAUUGCCUAUAUAUAUUAAAAAAAAAAUCCUAUCUCUAAAGGCACAAGGGACCAUUAAAUCAUUUCCUGUUAUUUCACAUCAUUAUAUUUCAUUAUGAUCUAACAUGUCAAGCCUAGUAACUUAUUAAAACCAGUCAUCUUUUCCA